UUUUCGCAAUGCCCGAAAGGGUGACGAAGCGACGCCGCGUGGGUGAGGAAGGCCUUCGGGUUGUAAAGCCCUGUCAGGAGUUAAGAAAUGUAGAUUCGCUAAUAUCGUGUCUAUUUGACGAAGGCUCCAAAGGAAGCCACGGCUAACUCUGUGCCAGCAGCCGCGGUAAUACAGAGGUGGCAAGCGUUGUUCGGAAUUAUUGGGCGUAAAGAGCGCGUAGGUGGAUUUGUAAGUCAGAUGUGAAAGCCUUCUGUUCAACGGAAGAAUUGCAUCUGAAACUGCAGACCUUGAGUGUAGGAGGGGAGAAUGGAACUUCUGGUGGAGCGGUGAAAUGCGUAGAUAUCAGAAGGAACGCCGGCGGCGAAAGCGAUUCUCUGGCCUAUUACUGACACUCAGUGCGCGAAAGCUAGGGGAGCAAACGGGAUUAGAUACCCCGGUAGUCCUAGCCGUAAACGAUGGGCACUAAGUAGAGGGGUUUUAA
rnacentral:rRNA from 1 species